GAUUAUUUUGUCUCGCUGCCUUUUAGCCCCACGCACGCUGUUUUCUCUCCCUGGGAACGGCCGAGCGGAGAGGAGCGGGACCUGCUCGGGGAGCGGCGCGGCCAAUUAGCGCCGAAAGUUCCCGUGCGAGGCAGAAAUUGCGCCUGCAACGAAAUUUCGCUGCGAGCCGCCGCGGAGAGACAGCGGUGCUGCCCCUCCCGCAGCCCCUCCCGCCGCGAUUCCCUCGACGAGGAUCAAAAGAGCCCCCCUCUCCCCCGCGCCCUCACAUCGAAAUGGUGCCGCUGCCUCCCAGCCCAACCGGUCAAGUUAAUUCCGGAACAAAGGAGGACACAAACACAAAGGAUCGCUCUCCCCCCGCCUUCCUCUCUCCCCGACUCCAACUUCCCCGGUGCCCGGGCCCGGCCCGGGCCGCCCCCCCGGGUCCCAGCGCCCGGCAGAGGGGGGUGGCAGAGGGGACAGCGGGGACGCGGGGCCGGUCUCUCCUCUGGGCGUUGAAAGGGGAGAAAUGCUCGCACUCAGGCCCGAAAGGGUAAAAAAAAAAAUAGUCUAUUACGGAUGGGUCGUCUCCCACCCCCGGGGCACGGAGCCCCUAAGGCAGCACCCGGGGCACGGAGGCGGCGGGGAGCAUCUUCCGAUGACGGCGCGACUCGGGCAAACUUCCCACGCCGGUGGCAGGGAGCCCCGCGCAGCCCCGCGGGUCGCGGUCCCGCGUGCGCCCCUACGGUGGGAGAAGAGCCCGGGGCCGCUCCCAGCCUCGAGGUGCCCCCGCCCGCGGGGCCCCGUCCCGGAGAGCGGCGGGGAGGGCGGAGGCCGGGAGGCGGCAGGCGUCGGCCCUUUGCGAAAGUAUCCCCGCAGCCUUCCUUCCCCCCGAGCGGACGCGAGAGCGGAGAGCCGGGGAGGGAGAGAGCGGGAGGACGCGGAAAACGCGGUGGAAGACGGCCGCGGGUGCGAGGCUGUCGCUGGGGAAGGGUGAGAGGAAGACGCGCGCCGAAGCCGCGCCGCAAACUUUCAGCCCCCGUUCGUAACGCGCUCGGCGAGGGGACGGCGGUGCCCGACCCAAAGAGGGGAAAAGCGGCUCUCGGAGACGUCCGCCGUAACUUAGAGCCGAGCGCCGGGGCGGCAGGAAGGCGCCGGGACUGCGCGCCCGGCACGGGAUCCGCUGCGCUCCUCCGCUGUGCUCCGGGGAUCCCGGGAGCCGCUCUGCGGGGCCGCUCCGGGUGCUGCGAGCCCUUCUCAAGGCGUCUCUUGCAGGAGAGAUAAGGCGGCGAGCCCCCAUUUACGGCUCUGAAAGGGACCGCGGCUCACAAAGGCUACGUGGCUAAAUGGGAUAUUGAUAGUGUCCUAAUUAGAAUUUAAUUAAGUACCCACGCUCGCUUUUGGGAUAAAGAUUUCAAUUUUGCUAACUUAAAUAUAAAUAAACCCAAUUUCGGGCGAGUAAAUGAUACGGUGUUGUGGAUGCGGGCGGGUGGGGGGGGGGGGGGGGUAAGGGGGGGAACGGGGGUCGCGCUCAUUGCAGUGCGGACGUUGUGCGCUGCGGCGUUUUGGGGCGGUGGUGUUGGGGCGGACGAGUCGGGAGGUGCCGCGGUACGGAAAGAGCCGAGAGAGCUUCGGGGGGAGCGGAGCGCGGGGGGCCCUUCGGUCCCGUGUGCCACCCCCCGGUGUCCGUCCCCACGUCCAUACAUACCUAUGGCACAUCCGCAUCGCACAUAUAGGACGUAAGGGCGGCGGCACGUGAUGCGGCCUCCCCUCCUCUCG
ensembl:lncRNA